rnacentral:rRNA from 1 species
UACGAAGGGGGCUAGCGUUGUUCGGAAUUACUGGGCGUAAAGCGCGUGUAGGCGGCUUCGCAAGUCGGGUGUGAAAUCCCACGGCUCAACCGUGGAAGUGCAUUCGAAACUGCAAGGCUAGAGUCCUGGAGAGGAAGGUGGAAUGCUUGGUGUAGAGGUGAAAUUCGUAGAUAUCAAGCGGAACACCGGUGGCGAAGGCGGCCUUCUGGACAGUGACUGACGCUGAGACGCGAAAGCGUGGGGAGCAAACAGG